rnacentral:rRNA from 1 species
UACGUAGGCAGCGAGCGUUGUUCGGAGUUACUGGGCGUAAAGAGUGCGUAGGCGGUUUUCUAAGUUUGGUGUGAAAUCUCCCGGCUUAACUGGGAGGGUGCGCCGAAGACUGGAAGGCUUGAAUAUGGAAGAGGGUCGCGGAAUUCCCGGUGUAGAGGUGAAAUUCGUAGAUAUCGGGAGGAACACCAGUGGCGAAGGCGGGCGACCUGGGCCAAUGACUAGUUGGCUGAGCGCGAAAGCGGUUGGGGGAGGCAAAACAGGAAUUAGAAACCCUAAGGUAGUUCCAAGAACCCAAUGUCCGUCCUGCACCAGAUAAUCACCUGACCGUUGACCCCCCUGCGAAAUGAAGGCCCGGAAAGCGCAAUU